AUGAACGCUAGCUACAGGCUUAACACAUGCAAGUCGAGGGGAAACGACAUCGAAAGCUUGCUUUUGAUGGGUGUCGACCGGCGCACGGGUGAGUAACGCGUAUCCAACCUGCCCACCACUUGGGGAUAACCUUGCGAAAGUAAGACUAAUACCCAAUGAUAUCUCUAGAAGACAUCUGAAAGAGAUUAAAGAUUUAUCGGUGAUGGAUGGGGAUGCGUCUGAUUAGCUUGUUGGCGGGGUAACGGCCCACCAAGGCAACGAUCAGUAGGGGUUCUGAGAGGAAGGUCCCCCACAUUGGAACUGAGACACGGUCCAAACUCCUACGGGAGGCAGCAGUGAGGAAUAUUGGUCAAUGGACGAGAGUCUGAACCAGCCAAGUAGCGUGCAGGAAGACGGCCCUAUGGGUUGUAAACUGCUUUUAUAAGGGAAUAAAGUUAGUCUCGUGAGACUUUUUGCAUGUACCUUAUGAAUAAGGACCGGCUAAUUCCGUGCCAGCAGCCGCGGUAAUACGGAAGGUCCGGGCGUUAUCCGGAUUUAUUGGGUUUAAAGGGAGCGUAGGCCGGAGAUUAAGCGUGUUGUGAAAUGUAGACGCUCAACGUCUGCACUGCAGCGCGAACUGGUUUCCUUGAGUACGCACAAAGUGGGCGGAAUUCGUGGUGUAGCGGUGAAAUGCUUAGAUAUCACGAAGAACUCCGAUUGCGAAGGCAGCUCACUGGAGCGCAACUGACGCUGAAGCUCGAAAGUGCGGGUAUCGAACAGGAUUAGAUACCCUGGUAGUCCGCACGGUAAACGAUGGAUGCCCGCUGUUGGUCUGAAUAGGUCAGCGGCCAAGCGAAAGCAUUAAGCAUCCCACCUGGGGAGUACGCCGGCAACGGUGAAACUCAAAGGAAUUGACGGGGACCCGCACAAGCGGUGGAGCAUGUGGUUUAAUUCGACGCAACGCGAAGAACCUUACCAAGUCUUGACAUCCCUUGACAGACAUAGAAAUAUGUAAUCUCUUCGGAGCAAGGAGACAGGUGGUGCAUGGUUGUCGUCAGCUCGUGCCGUGAGGUGUCGGCUUAAGUGCCAUAACGAGCGCAACCCCUCUCCUUAGUUGCCAUCAGGUCAUGCUGGGCACUCUGGGGACACUGCCACCGUAAGGUGUGAGGAAGGUGGGGAUGACGUCAAAUCAGCACGGCCCUUACGUCCGGGGCUACACACGUGUUACAAUGGCAGGUACAGAGAGACGGUCCCUUGCAAAACGGAUCAAAUCCUUAAAGCCUGUCUCAGUUCGGACUGGGGUCUGCAACCCGACCCCACGAAGCUGGAUUCGCUAGUAAUCGCGCAUCAGCCACGGCGCGGUGAAUACGUUCCCGGGCCUUGUACACACCGCCCGUCACACCAUGGGAGUUGGUUUUACCCGAAGGUAGUGCGCUAACCGCAAGGAGGCAGCUAACCACGGUAGGGUCAGCGACUGGGGUG
rnacentral:rRNA from 1 species